GUCACGGGUCUUUCUAUUAAGAGGUACACAAUUGCGCGUGCGUGAAUUUGCUAGUUGUUCUUUCUUCUUGACCCGCAAAAUUCACUCCGCUCUGGUUUGCUUUUAGCGAAUCUUAAUUUGUCAGAAUGCAGCAAAGCAACACUCCUAGGCCAUCUUAUGGCGCUCCACCACAAAAGAGGUCCAGGAACGCUAAUGGAGGGGCAAACAACAGGAGAAAGCAGCCUAACUUCUCUGCUGACAUAGUGUUCACCACCAAGGCGGGAAAGGUCCAGACCAUCCCCUCCUUGACCAAACAGCUGAAGGCCAUCACUGGUGAGACAGUCAUUGGU